CCCCUCCCUUCCCCUCCCAGCCCCUCCUCGAGCGCUGCUGAUGGAUGAUGGAGGCCCAUGCAGGGUGGGGAGGGCUGCGAGAGGAGGAAAGCGUUACCUGGAGCACCUCUGGCUGCUGCUCAGCACAGCACAGCCCUGGCCCCAGCACACGAUGCUCGGUCCUACCUGGUCAGCGGGCGACCUCUUCUCGCCGUUGGCACCCUGCAGGAGCCCCGCCUCUUCGGAAAGUUUAUCUGACUUAACUUCAACUACAUUCUUGUCUUUACGUGCCUCUGGCUUUGUGAUGUCCUGUUUGCCGCUGCGGCCGCAGGAGAUCUUGCCCUUCUUGUGCAGGAAGUAAAUGAUGGAGCCCAGCACGGCCACCACCAGGAUGCAGACGAUGAUGGCCACGAUGAUGAUGCCUUUGCUCUCCGAUGGCUUUUGAUCCAGCAGCUGGAUGUGCUUCUCACUGACCCCCAGCGCGUUGGACACCCGGCACAUGGCUCCUGCCCGCAGCAGGUCGUGGCUCACACGCACCGUCAGGUUGCUGGCCAUGUGCUGGUUCUCCAUGUACUCGUGGGUCGUCCCGUUGACGCUCCAGUGGAAGGAGGGCUGGGGGAAGGCGAUGGCCUUGCAGGUCAGGUUGAUCACUUCGUCCUGCCGCACGUACAGCGGGGCGCUGAUGGCCACGAUGCGCGGCUUCCCCUUCACAGCCACGGCCACCUGCUUGCUCUGCUCCAGCCCCGGCACACUGCGAGCCUUCACUCUGCAGCUGAAGUUGCUGGAGGUCUCG
rnacentral:lncRNA from 1 species